rnacentral:tRNA from 2 species
GCCCCCGUAGCUCAGUGGAUAGAGCAGUGGUUUCCUAAACCAUGCGCGGGAGUUCGAUUCUCUCCGGGGGCACCA